rnacentral:rRNA from 1 species
CCGGAAAUCUUACCGGGACCGACAGCGAUCUCCCCUAAGGGGGGAGGAGGUUGGGGGAGGAGNNGAGAGGGGGUUUUUGGGGGUGNGUAGUUAGUAGUGUGAAGAAUNNUGUUAAGUGAGGGAAUGAGGGAGAUCUAUGCCCACAGUUGCCAGCGUACUCUCCGGAGUGAUGGGUACACUGUGGGGACCGCCGCUGCUAAAGCGGAGGAAGGAAUGGGCAACGGUAGGUCAGUAUGCCCCGAAUAUCCCGGGCUACACGCGAGCUACAAUGGUUGGUACAAUGGGUAUCUACCCCGAGAGGGGAUGGCAAUCUCCUAAAACCAAUCUUAGUUCGGAUUGAGGGCUGCAACUCGCCCUCAUGAAGCUGGAAUCCGUAGUAAUCGCGUUUCAACAGAACGCGGUGAAUACGUCGCUGCUCCUUGCACACACCGCCCGUCAAACCACCCGAGUAAGGGUCUGAAUGAGAGCGCUUACCAAUCGGAGGCGUUCGAAUUUGGGCUUUGCUAGGGGGG